rnacentral:rRNA from 1 species
AACGAACGCUGGCGGCAUGCCUAACACAUGCAAGUCGAACGAGACCUUCGGGUCUAGUGGCGCACGGGUGCGUAACGCGUGGGAACCUGCCCUUAGGUUCGGAAUAACUCCCCGAAAGGGGUGCUAAUACCGGAUAAUGUCUUCGGACCAAAGAUUUAUCGCCUCUGGAUGGGCCCGCGUUGGAUUAGCUAGUUGGUAGGGUAAAAGCCUACCAAGGCGACGAUCCAUAGCUGGUCUGAGAGGAUGAUCAGCCACACUGGGACUGUGACACGGCCCAGACUCCUACGGGAAGCAGCAGUGGGGAAUAUUGGACAAUGGGCGAAAGCCUGAUCCAGCAAUGCCGCGUGAGUGAUGAAGGCCUUAGGGUUGUAAAGCUCUUUUACCCGGGAUGAUAAUGACAGUACCGGGAGAAUAAGCUCCGGCUAACUCCGUG